rnacentral:rRNA from 1 species
UGGGGAAUAUUGGACAAUGGGCGGAAGCCUGAUCCAGCAACGCCGCGUGAGGGAUGACGGCCUUCGGGUUGUAAACCUCUUUCAGUACCGACGAAGCGAAAGUGACGGUAGGUACAGAAGAAGGACCGGCCAACUACGUGCCAGCAGCCGCGGUAAUACGUAGGGUCCGAGCGUUGUCCGGAAUUAUUGGGCGUAAAGGGCUCGUAGGCGGUUUGUCGCGUCGGGAGUGAAAACAGCGGGCUUAACUCGUUGCUUGCUUUCGAUACGGGGCAGACUAGAGGUAUGCAGGGGGAGAAUGGAAUUCCUGGUGUAGCGGUGAAAUGCGCAGAUAUCAGGAGGAACACCGGUGGCGAAGGCGGUUCUCUGGGCAUUACCUGACGCUGAGGAGCGAAAGUGUGGGGAGCGAACAGGAUUAGAUACCCUGGUAGUCCACACCGUAAACGUUGGGCGCUAGGUGUGGGGUCCUUUCCACGGAUUCCGUGCCGUAGCUAACGCAUUUAAGCGCCCCGCCUGGGGAGUACGGCCGCAAGGCUAAAACUCAAAGGAAUUACGGGGUCAUAGCUG